rnacentral:rRNA from 1 species
UACGGAGGAUGCGAGCGUUAUCCGGAUUUAUUGGGUUUAAAGGGAGCGUAGACGGCCGUUUAAGUCAGCUGUGAAAUGGUGCGGCUCAACCGUAGCACUGCAGUUGAAACUGGUCGGCUUGAGUGCAGUUGAGGCAGGCGGAAUUCGUGGUGUAGCGGUGAAAUGCUUAGAUAUCACGAAGAACCCCGAUUGCGAAGGCAGCCUGCUAAGCUGCAACUGACGUUGAUGCUCGAAAGUGUGGGUAUCAAACAGG